GACGAACGCUGGCGGCGUGCUUAACACAUGCAAGUCGAACGGAAAGGCCCUGCUUUUGUGGGGUGCCCGAGUGGCGAACGGGUGAGUAACACGUGAGUAACCUGCCCUUGACUUUGGGAUAACUUCAGGAAACUGGGGCUAAUACCGGAUAGGAGCUCCUGCUGCAUGGUGGGGGUUGGAAAGUUUCGGCGGUUGGGGAUGGACUCGCGGCUUAUCAGCUUGUUGGUGGGGUAGUGGCUUACCAAGGCUUUGACGGGUAGCCGGCCUGAGAGGGUGAACGGCCACAUUGGGACUAAGAUACGGACCAGACUCCAACGGGAGGCAGCAGUGGGGAAUAUUGCACAACGGGCGGAAGCCUGAUGCAGCAGCGCCGCGUGCGGAAUGACGGCCUUCUGGUUGUGAACCGCUUUCGCCUGUGACGAAGCGUGAGUGACGGUAAUGGGUAAAGAAGCACCGGCUAACUACGUG
rnacentral:rRNA from 1 species